rnacentral:snoRNA from 8 species
ACUUAUGAUGAUUUUCAUUGGAAUCUCGUUCGUCUGAAUUCCUGCUGAUAUCUUUUAAAUACUGAUGUUA